rnacentral:misc_RNA from 1 species
UCUCCGUAGGUGAACCUGCGGAGGGAUCAUUACAGAGUUCGUGCCCUCGCGGGUAGAUCUCCCACCCUGUGUUAUUGCUACCUUUGUUGCUUUGGCGGGCCGCCCUCGGCUACCGGUCCCGGCUGGUACGCGCCCGCCAGAGGACCCCAAACCCUGAACGUCAGUGUCGUCUGAGUACUAUACAAUAGUUAAAACUUUCAACAACGGAUCUCUUGGUUCUG